UACGGAGGGGACUAGCGUUGUUCGGAAUUACUGGGCGUAAAGCGCACGUAGGCGGAUUUGUAAGUCAGGGGUGAAAUCCCGGGGCUCAACCUCGGAACUGCCUUUGAUACUGCAAAUCUCGAGUCCGGAAGAGGUGAGUGGAAUUCCUAGUGUAGAGGUGAAAUUCGCAGAUAUCAGGAGGAACACCAAUGGCGAAGGCAGCUCGCUGGUACGUGACUGACGCUGAGACGCGAAAGCGUGGGGAGCAAACAGG
rnacentral:rRNA from 1 species